CCAAUAGCGUAUAUUAAAGUUGUUGCAGUUAAAAAGCUCGUAGUUGAAUUUCGGGGUUUUACCGUUGGUCGGGCUAUCCAGUCUGUACUAACGUGUAGAAUUCCUACCUUCUGGAGAACCAUCAUGUUAUUAAUUUAGCGUGGUGGGAAACCAGGACCUUUACCUUGAAAAAAUUAGAGUGUUCAAAGCAGGCUUAAGUCUGAAUACAUUAGCAUGGAAUAAUAAAAUAGGACGGUGGUCCUGUUUUGUUGGUUUCUGAAUCAUCGUAAUGAUUAAUAGGGAUAGUUGGGGGCAUUAGUAUUCAAUUGUCAGAGGUGAAGUUCUUGGAUUUAUUGAAGACUAACUUCUGCGAAAGCAUUUGCCAAGGAUGUUUUCAUUAAUCAAGAACGAAAGUUAGGGGAUCGAAGACGAUCAGAUACCGUCGUAGUCUUAACCAUAAACUAUGCCGACUAGGGAUCGGACGAUGUUUAAUUUUAUUGACUCGUUCGGCGCCUUACG
rnacentral:rRNA from 1 species